GUAUAUAUAACUCAGUGAUAGAGUGUGUGCUUAGCAUGCACGAGGUCCUGGAUUCAAUCCCCCGUACCUUCA
rnacentral:tRNA from 1 species